CCUAGGGGCACGAACCGGAUUAGAUACCCGGGUAGUCCUAGGUGUAAACGCUGUGAACUUGGUGUCGGGGGUCCGCAAGGGGUCCCCGGUGCCGGAGUGAAGAUGUUAAGUUCACUGCCUGGGGAGUACGGUCGCAAGGCUGAAACUUAAAGGAAUUGGCGGGGGAGCACUGCAACGGGAGGAGCGUGCGGUUUAAUUGGAUUCAACGCCGGAAAACUCACCAGGGCCGACUGUUAGAUGAAGACCAGUGUAACGAGCUUGUCGGAUUUUCAGAGAGGUGGUGCAUGGCCGUCGUCAGUUCGUACUGUAAAGCGUUCUGUUAAGUCAGAUAACGAACGAGACCCUCAUCUCUAUUUGCAACCUGUCUCUCCGGAGGCGGCGCACUAUAGAGAGACCGCUGGUGUGAAACCAGAGGAAGGCGAGGGCAACGACAGGUCAGUAUGCCCCGAAUGUCCUGGGCUACACGCGCGCUACAAAGGACGGGACAAUGGGAAGCCAGGCCGAGAGGCCGAGCUACCCCGAAACCCGUUCAUAGUUCGGAUCGUGGGCUGUAACUCGCCCUCAUGAAGCUGGAUUCCGUAGUAAUCGUGUUUCAAUAUAGCACGGUGAAUAUGCCCCUGCUCCUUGCACACACCGCCCGUCAAACCAUCUUAGUUGGGGGUGGGUGAGGCUGCGCUUUAUGGCGUAUUCGAGCCUGCCUUCGACAAGGAGGGUUAAGUCGUAACAAGGUAUCUGUAGGGGAACCUGCAGAUG
rnacentral:rRNA from 1 species